GUCCACGCCGUAAACGAUAAUCACUAGAUGUUAGUCCGGCUUAGCUGGAUUAGUGUCGUAGCUAACGCGUUAAGUGAUUCGCCUGGGGAGUACGGUCGCAAGGCUAAAACUUAAAAGAAUUGACGGGGGUCCGCACAAGCGGUGGAACAUGUGGUUUAAUUCGACACUACGCGAGAACCUUACCUGGGCUUGACAUGUACUCGACACCUGUAGAAAUACAGUCUUUUGGGUUUCUAUCCAAACGGGUACACAGGUGCUGCAUGGCUGUCGU
rnacentral:rRNA from 1 species